UACGUAGGGGGCAAGCGUUGUCCGGAAUCAUUGGGCGUAAAGCGCGUGUAGGCGGUUCUGUAAGUCUGCUGUGAAAGUCCAGGGCUCAACCCUGGGAUGCCGGUGGAUACUGCAGGGCUAGAGUACGGAAGAGGCGAGUGGAAUUCCCGGUGUAGUGGUGGAAUGCGUAGAUAUCGGGAGGAACACCAGUGGCGAAGGCGGUUGCCUGGGGCUUUGCUGACGCUGAUGCGCGAAAGCGUGGGGAGCGAUCCGG
rnacentral:rRNA from 1 species